UACAGAGGUCUCAAGCGUUGUUCGGAUUCAUUGGGCGUAAAGGGCGCGUAGGCGGCGGGGUAAGUCGGGUGUGAAAUCUCAGGGCUCAACCCUGAAACUGCACUCGAUACUGCUCUGCUUGAGGACUGGAGAGGAGACUGGAAUUCACGGUGUAGCAGUGAAAUGCGUAGAUAUCGUGAGGAAGACCAGUGGCGAAGGCGGGUCGUCCUGGACAGUU
rnacentral:rRNA from 1 species